GUUUCCGCAUCCCUCUCUUCAGUGUGCAUGUGGAUAGUGAAGAUGCUGGCCUGCUCAUCAGGAAAUGAGUAGGCUCCCUAACUCCAACCUGAGCUGAAGGAGUGAAGCUGGAUCCAGGUGCAAACAGUUCCCAGGAUUAUCACCUCUGGUUUCUGCAAAAGGACAUUUGGAAGAGCAGCAUGCUGCCGAGAACUGAAACUUCAGAAACUCUGACUUAAUAAGCUGUUAGCCUGAACUCCAGCUCUGAGAAGGGGACAGAGGGAAGGACCUUUCCCAUCAUCUCUCAAAUUAUCAAGGUAUGUCUUAAUUCUUAAAGCUUUGAACCAGUUAAUCCUGUCUUUAUUGUUGUUGCAGCACAGACUGACUCAAGGGGAUGUCUGGACUAAACUACAGACAAUAGAAGUUAAACCAAAUCUCUUCUACCAAGCAGAGAGGACCUCAGUCCUGGAAGAAGCUAGUGCUGGAAUGCAGAAAGAGUUUGAAAGAACUGAAGAAACCAAAAUCUAAAAAAACCUGCCAUGGGCAGAAUGCAGAGCCCAGGCUAGGUUUCCAGAAGAAUGUGUCGGUAAGAAAGAAACCUAAAGCUAAUAACAAAAUGCCUUGAGUUGUUAUCAUUAAGUUAUCUUGAAUAAACUAUGUAUUGUCUAUUUCCUGAA